rnacentral:rRNA from 1 species
UACGUAGGGUGCAAGCGUUAAUCGGAAUUACUGGGCGUAAAGCGUGCGCAGGCGGUUCGUUGUGUCGGCGGUGAAAGCCCCGGGCUCAACCUGGGAAUGGCCGUUGAAACUGGCGAACUGGAGUGUGGCAGAGGGGGGUGGAAUUCCGCGUGUAGCGGUGAAAUGCGUAGAUAUCAGGAGGAACACCGGUGGUGUAGACGGCUCUCUGGACCGUAACUGACGCUGAGGCACGAAAGCGUGGGUAGCAAACAGG